GACGAACGCUGGCGGCGUGCUUAACACAUGCAAGUCGAGCGGUAAGGCCCUUUCGGGGUACGACGAGCGGCGAACGGGUGAGUAACACGUGGGUGACCUGCCCUCAGCUCUGGGAUAAGCCUGGGAAACCGGGUCUAAUACUGGAUAUGACUCCAUGACGCAUGUUGUGGGGUGGAAAGCCUUGUGCGGCUGAGGAUGGGCCCGCGGCCUAUCAGCUUGUUGGUGGGGUGAUGGCCUACCAAGGCGA
rnacentral:rRNA from 1 species